GACGAACGCUGGCGGCGUGCUUAACACGUGCAAGUCGAACGGAAAGGCCCUGCUUUUGUGGGGUGCUCGAGUGGCGAACGGGUGAGUAACACGUGAGUAACCUGCCCUUGACUUUGGGAUAACUUCAGGAAACUGGGGCUAAUACCGGAUAGGAGCUCCUGCUGCAUGGUGGGGGUUGGAAAGUUUCGGCGGUUGGGGAUGGACUCGCGGCUUAUCAGCUUGUUGGUGGGGUAGUGGCUUACCAAGGCUUUGACGGGUAGCCGGCCUGAGAGGGUGACCGGCCACAUUGGGACUGAGAUACGGCCCAGACUCCUACGGGAGGCAGCAGUGGGGAAUAUUGCACAAUGGGCGGAAGCCUGAUGCAGCAACGCCGCGUGCGGGAUGACGGCCUUCGGGUUGUAAACCGCUUUCGCCUGUGACGAAGCGUGAGUGACGGUAAUGGGUAAAGAAGCACCGGCUAACUACGUGCCAGCAGCCGCGGUGAUACGUAGGGUGCGAGCGUUGUCCGGAUUUAUUGGGCGUAAAGGGCUCGUAGGUGGUUGAUCGCGUCGGAAGUGUAAUCUUGGGGCUUAACCCUGAGCGUGCUUUCGAUACGGGUUGACUUGAGGAAGGUAGGGGAGAAUGGAAUUCCUGGUGGAGCGGUGGAAUGCGCAGAUAUCAGGAGGAACACCAGUGGCGAAGGCGGUUCUCUGGGCCUUUCCUGACGCUGAGGAGCGAAAGCGUGGGGAGCGAACAGGCUUAGAUACCCUGGUAGUCCACGCUGUAAACGGUGGGUACUAGGUGUGGGGUCCAUUCCACGGGUUCCGUGCCGUAGCUAACGCUUUAAGUACCCCGCCUGGGGAGUACGGCCGCAAGGCUAAAACUCAAAGGAAUUGACGGGGCCCCGCACAAGCGGCGGAGCAUGCGGAUUAAUUCGAUGCAACGCGUAGAACCUUACCUGGGUUUGACAUGGAUCGGGAGUGCUCAGAGAUGGGUGUGCCUCUUUUGGGGUCGGUUCACAGGUGGUGCAUGGCUGUCGUCAGCUCGUGUCGUGAGAUGUUGGGUUAAGUCCCGCAACGAGCGCAACCCUUGUCCACUGUUGCCAGCACGUUAUGGUGGGGACUCAGUGGAGACCGCCGGGGUCAACUCGGAGGAAGGUGGGGAUGACGUCAAGUCAUCAUGCCCCUUAUGUCCAGGGCUUCACGCAUGCUACAAUGGCUGGUACAGAGAGUGGCGAGCCUGUGAGGGUGAGCGAAUCUCGGAAAGCCGGUCUCAGUUCGGAUUGGGGUCUGCAACUCGACCUCAUGAAGUCGGAGUCGCUAGCAAUCGCAGAUCAGCAACGCUGCGGUGAAUACGUUCCCGGG
rnacentral:rRNA from 1 species